rnacentral:rRNA from 1 species
GACGAACGCUAGCGGCAGGCCUAAUACAUGCAAGUCGAACGGUGUCUUCGGACAUAGUGGCGCACGGGUGCGUAACACGUAUGCAACCUACCUUACAUUGGGGGAUAGCCUUUCGAAAGGGAGAUUAAUACCGCAUAAGACAGUAGCUGGGCAUCCAGCAGCUGUUAAAGAUUUAUCGAUGUAAGCUGGGCAUGCGUCCAAUUAGCUAGUUGGUGAGGUAACGGCUCACCAAGGCAAUGAUUGGUAGGGGAACUGAGAGGUCAAUCCCCCACACUGGCACUGAGAUACGGGCCAGACUCCUACGGGAGGCAGCAGUAGGGAAGAUUGGGCAAUGGACGCAAGGCUGACCCAGCCAUGCCGCGUGCAGGAUGAAGGCGUUAUGCGUUGUAAACUGCUUUUAUACAGGAAGAAACGACCCUUGCGAGAGGCAUUGACGGUACUGUAUGAAUAAGCACCGGCUAACUCCGUGCCAGCCGCCGCAGUAACAC